rnacentral:lncRNA from 1 species
CCAUAAUGUACAAAAUAAUAUGGUUACAACAUUUUCUUCUAGGGACAAACAUGAUCCCAAGUUCAGCUCCACAGGAAGUUGACAAGCAUGAGAAACAACAGGGCAAAGGUGUUCCAGAAAGGCAAGCCAAACACAUUUACAAAAGAGCCCUUCCAAAAUAAAGACAGACUGAAAGGAAAGCAGGCGGCUAUUCUAAGAUUCUUAUCUGGAACAUCAGCGGGAACUCCAGACUUGGACCAAAGGCAGUUCACGACCUUUGUAGAAUUGCUUCAGACUCUUAAAAAAGGACAGUCCAGAUUUGCUUUUUCAUCCUGUAUGCCUUUUUCCUCUCUUGCUGCAGAGCUGGGUCAACAGGAAGCUCUAAAGCAGGGGAUGAGGCCAUGGACGUCCCUGAAAAUGUGCCUCCUCUCUCUGCAGAGAUCAGGAUCAUCCUGGUCUCAGCUCAGCACCUGGAGUGAAGAGUACUCCCAGCAGAGCCAGAGCGGUGAGCCCACCCCGUUGCCCACUUCUGCGUGUCCACCCAGACUUAAGGAAAACAACAUCCAGGGGCGCGGUAGGCCUGACUUGGCAGCCCGAAAGGUGAACAAAAGGAUCCUGGCUUUGGCGAGAGCAGAAGGAAGUUCAGCGAGCCUCAGCCCCAUCCCAACCAGAACAGAUUUGUCACUGACGCUAAUGAGUGGCUGCUCUGGGGGGUGGCGCUCCCUGGAAGCUCCACAGCGGCUGCUCUCAGGUUUUCAGGUCAGCUCUAUGCAAAGCCUUCCAGAAGGGGCAGGGGGUGAGCUGAUGAACUCCACGGCCGAGGGGUUUUCACGUAUAUCUGGAAGACGGGACACAGGAAAGAGCGAGAAAAUUUUCCUCAGCUUCUACUGA